rnacentral:piRNA from 1 species
UGUCCACAUAGAGGUAGUUCCAAAGCCUA